ACUUUUAAAGGAAAAUUAUCUUCCGACGGGUAUAGGAACCACCCUUCUUGGUGCAAAUCCAAGUAAAAGUAAUG
rnacentral:tRNA from 1 species